CCGGCGCCGGGGCGCGCGGCAGCAGCCGUUGGGGUCCCGCGCGCGAGCGCCCGCCCCCAACAGCCGCCUCUGAGGGACCCCAACGGUCCCCGCCCACCUCAUCCGCAGGGGAGGGCCGGAGCUGUCACGCCCGCGGGCCUCCUCUGUGCGCUCUUCAUCAAACACCGGGGAGCUCCGAGCGGGAGGUGUCGCGGGAAAGCAGCGCCCUCCCUCUGGGCUGCCUCCGUCGCCAGCCCCAGCCCCGCAGGUAGGGCACCGGCACCCCGGUGGAGUGAAGCGCCCGCCGCCCGCGCCCCUGCGGGUUACCGGUGCCAAGUACUGCGGCGGGGUGGGUGCUGCUGCUCUGCACCCAGCGCCGCUCGCUGCUCAGCGCCAGCCCCCGAGGAAGCACCUUGCAGCCAAGAAAACGAAGUGUGGCGAGGGAUCACUUAUGAAUAUAUUGAAGAGACCAGAUCUCCCAUUGCUGAGCCUAUGUCAGUGAAUACUGAGACUUUCUUACCUUUCUCCUGGCGUAUAUGCCCUGCAAAGCAAGGGACAAUGGAAUCAAGAAAUAAACAUCUGACCACGUCACAAAUCCAAUUAUCUCUGACAAGGCUAGUAAAGUCAAGUGAAAAACAAAGCAACACUGUCCGGAAGAAGAUUUGUAUUUUGGAUCAUACUGGAGAAGGGUAAUGCAGUGAAGCAGAAACCACAGUUAACAUCUCACAGCCUCUUCUCCUCAACCACCACCAUCAUGAACUGUUUGGUUACAAUAAUAACCUCCGAAAGGUUUCAGUGCAACAAACUUCGGGCAGAAAUUCUUCUGGUGGUUGUCUAAUCCCAGGAUCUAUCCAUGUUAAAAGCGGCUUCCCUUUUUCUAGCUCUUGACACACAUGUAUGUAUCACAGGUCCCACUAAAUGAAAGUGAACCAUUAUAUAAUUGCUUCAUUGGUCUGCUACAUUCAUUCAUGCUUGAGACUCAAAAAUGUGGAUGAAUUUCUCAUCCUGCGUGCAGCAGUAUCAGUGAUAUUCCUUUGGUGCUGACAGAAUUAGAUUUAUCUUGAGAUGAGAAUCUAUUCCCUGACCUUCUGGCUUGAAAUCUAAAUUCUUCACUGCAUGUUUCCAGGUAGAAAGGAAAUACAUAAUCCAUUUUCUUUAUUUAUGUACGUCAGUCAACACUGCAUUACACUUGGAAGUUUUACAGCUUUGUCUCUCUUCUUCCUUAAAAGUAUUUCACAAUCAUGCAGUUACUCUCAGCUAAAAUGCUCACUUUCCAUUUACACCAGAGUAAUGUAGAAAAUAAUAAAACUCAUCAAAUAUUAUAUAACA
rnacentral:lncRNA from 1 species